rnacentral:rRNA from 1 species
AUUGAACGCUGGCGGCAGGCCUAACACAUGCAAGUCGAACGAGUGGCGGACGGGUGAGUAAUGUCUGGGAAACUGCCCGAUGGAGGGGGAUAACUACUGGAAACGGUAGCUAAUACCGCAUACCAUCGGAUGUGCCCAGAUGGGAUUAGCUAGUUGGUGGGGUAACGGCUCACCUAGGCGACGAUCCCUAGCUGGUCUGAGAGGAUGACCAGCCACACUGGAACGGAGACACGGUCCAGAUCCCAGGGGGGGGCAGCAGGGGGAAAUAUGGAACAAGGGGCGAAAGCCUGAUGCAGCCAGGCGGGGUGUAUGAAGAAGGCCUUCGGGUUGAAAAGUACUUUCAGCGGGGAGGCGUUACCCGCAGAAGAAGCACCGGCUAACUCCGUGCCAGCAGCGGCGGAAAUA